rnacentral:rRNA from 1 species
AGUCGAGCGACAGAUGGGAGCUGUGGUCCCUGAUGUUAGCGGCGGACGCGGGAGGAACACGUGGGUAAGCGGCCGUGGAAGACUGGGAUAACUGCCGUGGAAACCGGGGCUAAUACCGGAUGGUGGUUUGAACCGCGUGGUUCAGACAGUAAAGGUGGCUUCGGGUACCACUUACAGAUGGACCCGCGGCGGAUUGCUAGUUGGUGAGGUAACGGGUCACCAAGGGAACGAUGCGUAUGCGAGCUGAGAGGGUGAUGGGCGAGUCUGGGACUGAGACACGGCCCAGACUACUACGGGAGGCAGCAGUAGGGAAUCUUCCGCAAUGGACGAAAGUCUGACGGAGCAACGCCGCGUGAGUGAUGAAGGUUUUCGGAUCGUAAAGCUCUGUUGUUAGGGAAGAACAAGUACCGUUCGAAUAGGGCGGUACCUUGACGGUACCUAACCAGAAAGCCACGGCUAACUACGUGCCAGCAGCCGCGGUAAUACGUAGGUGGCAAGCGUUGUCCGGAAUUAUUGGGCGUAAAGGGCUCGCAGGCGGUUUCUUAAGUCUGAUGUGAAAGCCCCCGGCUCAACCGGGGAGGGUCAUUGGAAACUGGGGAACUUGAGUGCAGAAGAGGAGAGUGGAAUUCCACGUGUAGCGGUGAAAUGCGUAGAGAUGUGGAGGAACACCAGUGGCGAAGGCGACUCUCUGGUCUGUAACUGACGCUGAGGAGCGAAAGCGUGGGGAGCGAACAGGAUUAGAUACCCUGGUAGUCCACGCCGUAAACGAUGAGUGCUAAGUGUUAGGGGGUUUCCGCCCCUUAGUGCUGCAGCUAACGCAUUAAGCACUCCGCCUGGGGAGUACGGUCGCAAGACUGAAACUCAAAGGAAUUGACGGGGGCCCGCACAAGCGGUGGAGCAUGUGGUUUAAUUCGAAGCAACGCGAAGAACCUUACCAGUUCUUGACAUCCUCUGACAAUCCUAGGAGAUAGGACGUUCCCCUUCGGGGGCAGAGUGAACAGGUGGUGCAUGGAUUGUCGUUCAGCUCGUGUCCGUGAGAUGUUGGGUUUAAGUCCCGCAACGAGGCGCAAUCCGUGGAUCUAGUGCCAGCAUUUCAGUUGGCACUCUAAGUGACCUGCCGUGACAAACCGAGAGUGGGAAUG